AUGAUUGGGAUGAAAGGCAUUGCUAGUUACUGGAAAGGUACUGGUUGGCACCGCUUGGCUUUGACGGUAAGGAGGGUAAAUAAAAGGCAAUGGCCGCAUCAUGUUUGGGGUUGGAGGAGCUGAUGGGUUUGGGUGGUGUGGGGAAGACAAUGGACUAACUGUGGGUAACACAGUAGCAGGCCCUGAAUGCAGAGUCAUGUUUACUGGCCAUGGUGCAACAGCUGGAACAGCACCAGAACCAGAAAGAAGAGGAAUAUUCACAGUUACAGGUGCAGGACGUGCAAUGUAUGGUGAUGGGUUAAAUGGAGCUG
rnacentral:misc_RNA from 1 species